rnacentral:lncRNA from 1 species
AAGAGAUGUUACCUUGGUCUUGUACUUCAACCUUUGAACUUUGAGACGGGUGUGAUGCUUGUAAAACUGACAAAAAAUGCAAUUUUAUUUCUAUUUGAAAAUUGAAUGCAAUUUGAAUUUAUAGUAUACUUCCGUAUGAAAAUAAGAGAAGACUUACCGUAUUUAGAAAAGUUGUUUGAUCACUAUUAAUCUUUUUCCUGCAUCCAAAAAAUGUUUUUUUAUUUUUAUAAUUUGAGAUAAUUAAGUUGUAGAUUUUUUUUAAUUUUAUAAUUUGAGAUAAUUAACAUGAACGUAUCUCCUCCAAUUUAGGAGGAGAUAUUAAUAUAGAAGAAACAAAGGAACAAUAGGAGGUGACAUUAUCUCAAAGCUGCAGUAGAAAAUGAUAAUGGCAUCAGAGGCCAUAAGAAGAUUGAAGCAAGCGAUAAUUCUUAAUUGAGAUUGAAGCCAAUCAACCUUUAAUGAUAAUGUAGUGAUGACCUGGUGGAAGAUAUACGUUCAGUUUUCAAACGUGUAUACUGUCAAGACCGUGGACAUCUUCGCAUGCAUUUUCACAUGAAACUCAUAUAGAGAAUGCCACUAAAAAUAAAUAGGUAAGAAAUGGUGUUGUACCUAAUUUGUUGGACUUUAUUCCAAAUACGUAUGAUGUGAGGAGUUGUUGAAGGUUUUAAUUCUUCUACAGCUAUUUUCCUGCGCCACCUAUAUAUUGAAGGUAUAUAUAAAGUUAGAAUUUCUUAUAACAAAUUUAAUAAAGAAUUUAGAAUCUUAUAACAAAUUUAAUAAAUAAUUUAGAAUACAUACUGCUCAUGCUUCUUCUUUUUCCACUCUUUGAGAAUCAGUUGGCUUAGAUCAGUAGUUUUUACUCCAACAGAUAUCUCCCACCCAGGUGUAAAAAUAGAGACACGUCUGUUUGGGAUCUUAUCAAUAGGUAGUUCCUUUUUCAUUUUUUGUGGGUAUUCUUGUAGAUAUCCUGAGAAUGAAAACAAAAAGGAGAAGAAAGAAUAAGAAAAUUGAAAUAAAAAGCACCAAGAUUUCACAGAAGAUGGAUAUGAAUGGUUGACAAAAGCCUUUUGAGUCAAGAAUCUCACCAAAUUAAUUCAAAUAGCAUCACAUGUGAAGAAGGCAGAGCAAAAAAAAAAAAAAAAGAGGGGAGUAUAAGAUUUGGCCACAUAAUCGGAGGAGAUCGGGAGUACAUAUAAUAAUACUGUAGCCACAACGGCAAAAAUGGAAAUAUACGUGGGAACUGGGAAGUUACUGCUUAGUAGUGGGAGGACUUCACGGUUUUUUUUUUUAACUGACAACAACCUCUCCCCAUUUUCUCCCACGUUGGUUCUUAAUUUUUUUUUAAUAUAAUUUUGUUAGAUAUUAAUAUCUCCUCCUAAAAUGGAGGAGAUACGUUCAUGUUAUUUUUCUUUCUUUUUUUUUCCCUUUUUUUUCGAAUAAAACAAAUUUUAAUUCUCUGUUUAAUAUAUCUCUCCUAAAAUGGAGAGCAAUUACGUUGUUUUUGUUUAAUAUAAAUUUCUUAGAUAUUUUUUUAAUAUAAUUUUGUUAGAUUAAUAUUUUCUCUUAAAAAUGGAGGAGAAGUUAUUCCGUUUCUGUUGUUUUAUUUGUUUUUUUUUCUUUUUUUCAAUAUAAAGUGAGAGCCUCAGUUUGGUGAAGCAUUUUAAACCCCUAAAAUACCCUUACUUCAUAAUAGAAAAAAGAACCAAAUUAUCCUAAUAUAAUAAAGUAUAAUCGUGAUAUACGCAAAUAUGAUGGGGUUAAAUCAUAAUACACAAUUUGUAGAUGUUUGGCUGUGGACAAUGUACGUGUGCAUGCAUAUGAAGAAUGAUAGUUUACAACCAUUAGAUAAAUGGGACCUACACUUUCUAAACAAUUGUGACCCUUCGAUAAUUUAUACUAUUGUUUACAUUCUUUCUUUCCGCAAAAAUAAAAAAUAAAAAAAAUAAAAUAAAAAAGCACGAUUGAAACUACCCUAGACCCCAUUCCAGAGUUUGCACGAUGGAAACUAGACCUGACAUUCGUGUCGUGUUUUUCGUGUUCGUGUCGUUUUCGUGUCAUACCCGAUAUUUUAACGGGUCGUGUCGUGUAACACCCGUUAAAAUAAACGGGUAAAAUGACCAGACCCGAAAUUGACCCGAUAAUAUUAACAUGUAAUAUGACCCGACCCAUUACCCGUUAAGGAAAAUAUAUUUUAAACCAAUAAAUAAUCAAAUGAAAAAUAUAAUACUAAAUAAGUAUAUGCAUACCAUAUUAUCACAUUCAAAACAUAAAAACGCAUUUGUCUUUGAAGAAUUACAUAUUUACAUACCCAAAAUAAGAGCAUAAUAAAAAUAAAAAAAACAUUAGAACAUUACAAAAUAUCAAAUGUUCAAAAGAUUUGCAAAAUUAAGGGAAUUAUGUUUCAAGGUUUGGAACCUUGCACAUUUUCUUACAAUCAAACUUUUCAAUUUUCAUCAAUCACCAUGAGAAACGGUAUUGGAACUUUGGCUUGAUAUAUUGUCUUCAAGAGUUAUAUUGAUGAUAUUUUCAAUGAGGCUUUCUACAUUAGCAUUCUCUUCUAAUUUAUCCUAUGACUAUUGUUUAAGUAAAGUAUUUAAUAGUUUUAUAAUUAAUGUAGAACUAUGAAAAAUAUAGAAAAAAUAUAUAUUGUCUUCUAUUUUAAGGACAUUAAAUGUUAUCAACAUGUAUCUAGAAAUGAAAUUACAUGUCAUAUUUUCAGAUUUUUUUAAUAGUUUAUGUUUUCCCAUUUUAUCUUCGUUGUUGUUUUAAAGGAAAAAUAGUAAAAAUUGUAUGGGAGAUUACUCACACAUGUGCAAAUUGGAUGGAAUAUAUGUUGCUCUCCCUAUUUCACUUUUGUUUACGUAUAAAUAUAAAUCAAAAGAUAAAAAGCUUCGUAUCAUGACCAAAGUGUACAUCCUAAAAUGAAAUAAAAAUGUACAUAAUGCAUAUAGAUAAAUGUGGAAAAUAAGAUAGGAGAGAGGGGGAUGAAAAUUGGAAUGUGAACUGCCGGCUAUGGUGGAAUGGAUGGGUUGAGGCAAUUACUUUGGGCUUGAAAUUUUUUUAUAUAAAUUUUUAGUUUGGGCUUGGUAUUUAUAUAAAACUAGCCUCUCUGCAAGCACUAACGUACGUGCGAGAGGUAUUUUUGCAUCACGGGCGCUAUGCGCCCCACAAAUGUGUUAUUUUAAAUAUUCUUAUAUUUCUUAAGUGGUUAUUUUAUAAAUUGUGGGUGUGUGUCCAUCACAACAAUUUCUCAUUAUUUUCAAUCAUCUCCAAAGAAUUGCGUAAAAAUUAAUUGAAUGCAAAUAUGUGAUUAAAACUGAAAAUGGAGAGAGAAUGAAAAUUGAAAACAUGAAUUACUAACCCAAUAAAAAUUUCGAUUUUAGGAAAAGAAUCUGUUUUGAGAAAAAAAUUCACCCUAAAAUUCAUCACCAUCUAUUUGUAUAAACAAUGAAGAAGCAAAACUGAAGAACUGGUUGGAUUAAUUGGAACACUGCCAAUUUCAUUGAUCCUUCUUCCCAUGCGAAUAAGAAAUCAAAUUGAGUAUCUAAUUAUAGCUUUAAAUGUAAACAAAAAGUAUUAAAAGGCUAACUAAAACUAUUAAAGCAAAGAACAACAUUAAUUUAAAUUUUGAACAACCUGAUUUCUGUAUUUUUCUUCUUUGGUUCUGCAAAGAUAUGAAAAGAUGAAAAUCAACUUAUUCCUUUUAUUUGUUGCGUAACUUGCGUUACCAACAUUCACAGAGAAAAAUUCAUGAAGGAAAACUACAAUUUUGAAGUUAAAUUGGGUUUUAAUGAAUAAAUUUAGACAACAUCUGUCCACAAACACAAUGAUCUCUAAGACAUCAAAUGAUAUGAAUUACCAAGAACAGGAAUAAAAUGGGUUCUAUCACAGUAAUGAACAACAAAUAAGGCAAUAAUUGUGCAAAUGGUUCUCUGCAAGUGCAGGCUGUGCAGGCUGUGCAGGCCAUGAGAUUUAGUUGUGUACGUUCACAGCAACACCAAUGGUUCUUCCAUGCUUGAAAAUAUAGAUGGAUUACUUCCAAACAGAAAUACAUUGGCAUCAGAUACGUGUGAAAUCAAAGCCAUGCUUGCCACCCAUUUGCUUGCACUUGAUGCUUUAGAUUUUCAUGGUUAAUCUGCAAGCAAUGAUGAUAAAAUAAGAAGUCUAACUAUAAUGCACAAUCCCAAAUAUAAAGGUUGUAAGCAAUUUAACCUAAAUACCUUUAACUUUGACAAUUUUAUGAUGGCAAUACUUUUACUCCAGUUACUUUUAGAAUACUGAAAGAUAAAUAAUUUGUCAAAUUUGAGGUAACAAAUUGUAAUCAUGUUUACAAAAUUAAAUAGUAAGAAAUGUUACCUUAAUCUUGUACUUCAACCUUUGUACUUUGCGACGGGUGCGAUGCUUGUAAAACUGACAAAAAAAUGCAAUUUUAUUUCUAUUUGAAAAUUGAAAGCAAUUUGAAUUUCCAGUAUACUUCCGUAUGAAAAUAAGAGAAUACUUACCGUAUUUAGAAAAGUUGUUUGGUCACUAUUAAUCUUUUUCCUGCACCCAUAAAUUGUUUUUUUUUAUAAUUCGAGAUAAUUAAUUUGUAGAAUGAUAUAGACAAUGCCAUUAAAAAUAAAUAGGUAAGAAAUGGUGUUGUACCUAAUUUGUUGGACUUUAUUCCAAAUUAGUAUGAUGCGAGGAGUUGUUGAAGGUUUUAAUUCUUCUACAGCCUUUUUCAUGCGCCACCUAUAUAUUGAA